AUGUUUGACGUAACAGCUGUACAUGUAUGUGAAGAGAUCAUCACGAUCAACCAUCCUGAUGGCAAUGGUGCGUCCCGACUCUCUGAGCUCCAGCUGCUCUCCCUCAGCAGGGGGCAGCUCCUCCGCUUCUCCGCCGUUCUUCUUCUGUCUUUUACAAGACAGCUGGACCAGAGGAGGAAACAUGGCUGGGGGCACACACAGCAGGGAGCUGUUCCCCUCCACGUGGACUCUGGGUCCUGCUGGUUAAACAACACAGAGUUUAUCUUCUGUUUUUCCUUUUAAUAAGUUUAUAAGAAAUAAUUGAAGGCAUCAAUGGUGACAUGGUGGUAUGGUAUUUAAUGCUGUAGUCUCAAAGCAAGACGGUUGUGGGUUUAGACCUGCUGGUCGGGUGGGGCUCUGCUGUGUGUUUGCAGGAACUCUCGGUGCCUGUGUCGUUCUUUUCUGGGUGCUCUGAUUUCCAUCUACAAUCCAAAUACAAGUUUGUUUAGCUUAAAAAAACUCUGUCCAUUUAUGACUUUUAUGGUUAGUGUAAUAAUAACAAAGAUAGUUAACAUAGUACUUUUUUUAAAUUUAAAAAUCCAAUUAAAAUUUCAGUGCUCAUAGAGUGAAGAUAAAAUCUUAAGUAUUUAAACGUUACAAACCUUUUAUAAAAUUAACAUAGGAAUAAUAUCUCAAAAUUGUCUUUUCAUAAACAUUUUUUUGUUCUUUUUAUGUAUGAAAUGAAACAUGGUUAUUACACUAUUUUAUUUGAUGAAGCAAAUAUAACUUGAUAUAAUAUAUUUGAUAAUAGUCAUUGAAUUAUAUUCACAUGUUUGUAGUGUCUGACAUGGUUAUUUAGAUCUCACACUUUCUUCUUGAUAUUUUUCAAAAAUGUAUUCAGUUAUUUUAAAUAUGAUUAAAAUAAUCUUAAACUGCCCAUCAGGAUAGGAACACAUUAGCUGGCACCAUUAUAUUUAAUUAAACAUUUAUUUUUUCAUUUCUUAUUAGCUGUAUUUUAUGUUAAAUAUUCUUCCAAAAUCUAUUAGUCUAACCAUUAAUAAUAUUUAUUAUUUUCCUCUUGAAGACACAUAAAUAUUGCUUAUAAAAAAUUUAUAUCUAAAUAAAAUAAAUUAUUAUUAUGUAAGUAAAUCAUUUUUGUUGUAAUUUUUUAACAGUAUAAAUUUUAAAGGAUAUUCUUAUUAUUCUUCAGAAAAAGUCUCUCUGAACAAUCACAUCUCUCAAGUUUAUUAUUUAAAUAUAACCAAAUCUCAGAUUUCUUUGUACUUUUUAUACCAAAAUUAUAAAUUUUAACAUCAAAUAUGAUCUUGUGUUCAAAAACCAGCAGAUGCUGCAGAAUUACUGAGAUGAUCAAAUCCUAAAUAUUUGUAACAUCACUAAUAUUUGCAGAAAUAAAGAAUAACUUUAGUUGUUCAGUGAGAUUUAAACAUGUUUUCAGAGAUUAUUGAGCUUUUCUUAUGUAACAAUGGCUGCAGAUGAAUUUUCUACUAAUGAUGAAAAAACUAACAUGUAAAGCCUGAAGCAGCAGAAACUGACUUUAAACACAUUUUCAGCUUCUACAAUAAAACAACUGAAGGAAAAUAAAUGUUUGUUCUUACCUGUUACAGACAGUUUAGUUCCAGAGCCAAAGAUGAGGUAGUAGCCAUAUCCUCUCACAGUGAGACAGACUGCUACAAAAACCUGUCUGCUGUUGAAUGUGUCAGCUGAGGUGAAUGAGUCCAAAUGAGGAAGCAGGAUCAUAUUUCAGCUCCAUGAUGUGUUUCUCUAAUGUUCAUAUCAACAUGACUGUGUCUUCUUCUCUUUUCUUAUCUUUAUUUAUACAAAGUAUAUUGUAUAAAUACAACAAUAUAUUUUUCACAAUAUAUACUCAUUCACUGUAUAUAAAGUUCUCUCUCUCUCUUUUGCACAGUCGAGGCGAG
ensembl:lncRNA